rnacentral:tRNA from 1 species
UAGCCUAGUGGUUAAGGCUAUGGAUUGCUAAUCCGGAGACGGCGAGUUCGAUUCCCGU